rnacentral:rRNA from 1 species
UGGGGAAUUUUGGACAAUGGGCGAAAGCCUGAUCCAGCCAUGCCGCGUGCAGGAUGAAGGCCUUCGGGUUGUAAACUGCUUUUUGUACGGAACGAAAAGACUCUGGUUAAUACCUGGGGUCCAUGACGGUACCGUAAGAAUAAGCACCGGCUAACUACGUGCCAGCAGCCGCGGUAAUACGUAGGGUGCAAGCGUUAAUCGGAAUUACUGGGCGUAAAGCGUGCGCAGGCGGUUAUAUAAGACAGAUGUGAAAUCCCGGCUCAACCUGGGAACUGCAUUUGUGACUGUAUAGCUAGAGUACGGCAGAGGGGGAUGGAAUUCCGCGUGUAGCAGUGAAAUGCGUAGAUAUGCGGAGGAACACCGAUGGCGAAGGCAAUCCCUGGGCCUGUACUGACGCUCAUGCACGAAAGCGUGGGGAGCAAACAGGAUUAGAUACCCUGGUAGUCCACGCCCUAAACGAUGUCAACUGGUUGUUGGGUCUUUCACUGACUCAGUAACGAAGCUAACGCGUGAAGUUGACCGCCUGGGGAGUACGGCCGCAAGGUUGAAACUCAAAGG